rnacentral:rRNA from 1 species
GACGAACGCUGGCGGCGUGCCUAAUACAUGCAAGUAGAACGCUGAAGAGAGGAGCUUGCUCUUCUUGGAUGAGUUGCGAAAGGGUGAGUAACGCGUAGGUAACCUGCCUGGUAGAGGGGGAGAACUAUUGGAAACGAUAGCUAAUACCGCAUAAAAAUGGAUGACACAUGUCAUUUAUUUGAAAGGGGCAAUUGUUCCAAUACAAGAUGGAGAGGCGUUGUAUUAGCUAGUAGGUGAGGUAAUGGCUCACCUAGGCGACGAUACAUAGCCGACCUGAGAGGUGGAUCGGCCACACUGGGACUGAGACACGGCCCGAACUCCUACGGGAGGCGGCAGUGGGAAUCUUCGGCAAUGGGGGCAACCCUGACCGAGCAACGCCGCGUGAGUGAAGAAGGUUUUCGGAUCGUAAAGCUCUGUUGUAAGUCAAGAACGGGUGUGAGAGUGGAAAGUUCACACUGUGACGGUAGCUUACCAGAAAGGGACGGCUAACUACGUG